CCCAUGAGCUCCAGCCCACUUCUCAAACACUCUGUGUGAGUGUCUGUUUUAGCCAGUAACCCAUUCUACAGGCCUGCUCCCCGAGGCAGAAGGUUUUCGCUGCAAGUCCAGGCUGCGGUGUCAAGCUUCGUGAGUAGAAGAAGGACACAGCUCCCCAGACCCAGGGUGACGCCGGAGUGUGAGUGUACGUGUAGGUGAGGAAGACCCAGGAGAUCCCCGGACCCCUGGAGACCUUGGCUGUGGAGGGAGCGGUCCAGGAGAUGAGGCGGAGGGGAGUGCUGUGGCCGCAGAAGGAAGCCCAGGCUGGAGGUGUGGCUCUCCAGCGCCCAUAUGCUCACUCACGCCUGCUUCUGUGCUCCUCCUCAAGCCCCCUGCGGGUCAGCGG
rnacentral:lncRNA from 1 species